CACCCACAGUGCUCCUCCGACGCUUUUCAGGGGAAGUCCCGAUCGGCCCCACAUUUCAUUGAUAUUCCAAGUCUCUAAUGCGGCCGUGGCACAGGUGACAGACUGCCUCAGGGGAAAUUCAGGUUCACUCAGUCUACAGUACAACAAUCAUCACAAACACAACUGCAACAGAUGCUGCAUCAGAUGCAGUUGUGUGCCCUUCCUGCUCCUCCUGGUUCUCACAGUCCAGACACGCACAGCAGCCGUCCACCAGACACAAGUGUUCGAGAGGAAGUUGAUGAACCUCAAUAGUCCGUCAAUGUCGUGGAGGGGAUCCACCAGACG